rnacentral:rRNA from 1 species
AAUGAACGCUGGUGGUGUGCCUAAUACAUGCAAGUCGUGCGAGAAGUUUACUUCUAGCGGCGAACGGGUGAGUAACACGUGUUUAAUCUACCCUUUGUUUGGAAUAACAUUAAGAAAUUGAUGCUAAUAUUGAAUAGGUAAUAUUGACUUCGGUUUUUAUUAUUAAAGAAGCGUUUGUCUUCGCUAAAGGAUGAGAAUGCGCAGCAUUAGGUAGUUGGUAGAGUAAAAAGCCUACCAAGCAACGAUGCUUAGCCGGCCUGAGAGGGUGAACGGCCACACUGGAACUGAGAC